rnacentral:piRNA from 1 species
UAAUGGAAUAAAGGACGCAUGGA